rnacentral:rRNA from 1 species
GUGCCAGCCGCCGCGGUAAUACGGAGGGUGCGAGCGUUGUCCGGAAUCAUUGGGCGUAAAGGGCGCGUAGGUGGCCCGGUCAGUCUUUGGUGAAAGCGCGGGGCUCAACCCUGCGUCGGCCAGGGAUACUGCCGCGGCUCGAGCACUGUAGAGGCAGGCGGAAUUCCGGGUGUAGCGGUGGAAUGCGUAGAGAUCCGGAAGAACACCGGUGGCGAAGGCGGCCUGCUGGGCAGUUUAGCUGACACUGAGGCGCGACAGCGUGGGGAGCAAACAGGAUUAGAUACCCUCGUAGUCC